GGUAAUAUCAUCUUUUUUCAGAAAUAAUAUUGCUCCGUUGCUACAACCUCGUGACUAUCUUGCUCUAGUGUACACUCAAUUUUUUUCGAGUGGUUUUUUAUUUCUAUAAUCCGUCCACUUUUCCAUUUUAUAGUAAAAAAUGCAAUACCUUGUGAUUGAUAUGCAGUGAAUAUACAGACAGUUGGUCACGUGCGGGUACAAUUGUAGUUUUUCUCUUAGUUCCACCCUCUUUUUUAUCAAUUUUUUACCCUCAUAAUUGUUCUCUAUUUUCUUUUCAUAUUUUUGUUAUUGACACGUUUUCUUUGUUUCUUAUAGGUUUUUGUGGGUAAUACCAGCUCCAUUUUGAAUAUUUCACUGCUUAAAAAACGUGAAAACCUGCGACCCACCCAUAUUUUCCCCGGCAUUCCUCAAACGGUUUGGUAAUGACACAAACUAAAAUGCCCAGAACUAUCCUCACGCUGUUAUUUUUGGUAAUCACUGCUAGACUCGAUGAGGCUCACGAGUCCCAGGAGUCUGAGAACGGUCCCACCUCACAGAAAGGGUUAUUCGAUCCGGAUGAAUUCGAAAGAAUUUUUAAAAUAUUUAAAACAUGGAAAUGGGACAGAGAAUUUGAAAUGAAAACAUUGAAUAUAAUCUUCAUUUCCUAGAGAAUCCCAUUAGGCCAAUGGUUCACUUAUCGGAAGCGGCUAGAGUAAUCGCAUAUUAUUUGGAAGAAUCUUGUGAAGAGAAUAAUUGGGUCCACGGGAAAAAAGUGCUGGAGCUGGGAGCGGGGCUUGGCCUCCCUGGCAUUGUUGCUGCGUGUUUAGG
rnacentral:lncRNA from 1 species